rnacentral:rRNA from 1 species
UACGUAGGCAGCGAGCGUUGUUCGGAGUUACUGGGCGUAAAGGGUGUGUAGGCGGUUGUUUAAGUUUGGUGUGAAAUCUCCCGGCUCAACUGGGAGGGUGCGCCGAAUACUGAAUGACUAGAGUGCGGGAGAGGUGAGUGGAAUUCCUGGUGUAGCGGUGAAAUGCGUAGAUAUCAGGAGGAACACCGGUGGUGUAGACGGCUCACUGGACCGUAACUGACGCUGAGACACGAAAGCGUGGGUAGCAAACGGG